UACAAAGGGGGCUAGCGUUGCUCGGAAUCACUGGGCGUAAAGCGCACGUAGGCGGAUUGCUAAGUCAGGGGUGAAAUCCUGGAGCUCAACUCCAGAACUGCCUUUGAUACUGGCGAUCUUGAGUCCGGGAGAGGUGAGUGGAACUGCGAGUGUAGAGGUGAAAUUCGUAGAUAUUCGCAAGAACACCAGUGGCGAAGGCGGCUCACUGGCCCGGUACUGACGCUGAGGUGCGAAAGUGUGGGGAGCAAACGGG
rnacentral:rRNA from 1 species